rnacentral:rRNA from 1 species
UACGUAGGGUGCUAGAGUUGUCCGGAUUUACUGGGUGUAAAGGGUGCUCAGGUGGGUUUGUAAGUCAGAGGUGAAAUCCCAAAGCUUAACUUUGGAGCUGCCUUUGAUACUGCAAGUCUAGAGUUUGAGAGAGGGUAAUGGAAUAUCUGGUGUAGCAGUGAAAUGCGUAGAUAUUGGGAGGAACACCAGUGGCGAAGGCGGCUCACUGGACCGGAAUUGACGCUGAGGCGCGAAAGCGUGGGGAGCAAACAGG